CUCCACCUCUACUAUCCCUUUCUCAAUCGACCCUCUCUCUCUAUUUCCCCUUUUCCCUCUCUCAAUCGACCAUCUCUCUUUGUUUCCCCUUUCUCAAUCCACCUCUACUCCUCUAGGGAUGAGAUACGAGGAUCUCUGCAAUCCGAUGUAUGAUAUGGACAUCAAGGAAGCCUUAGCCACUUGCAUCUCAAGCAUUCAAUGGAUCUCUCCAUAAAGCACGAAUAUCUCCCCGAAGAUCUACAG